ACGCUCGACACCUACGGCAGGCAGCAGUGGGGAAUAUUGCACAAUGGGGGAAACCCUGAUGCAGCGACGCCGCGUGAGCGAAGAAGUAUCUCGGUAUGUAAAGCUCUAUCAGCAGGGAAGAAGAUGACGGUACCUGACUAAGAAGCACCGGCUAAAUACGUGCCAGUAGCCGCGGUAAUCUGAGCGGGCUGGCAAGGC
rnacentral:rRNA from 1 species